UUAAGGAUGAGGUUGGACUUAAACACCUGAAUCAAGUGAGUGUUGUAACAGGAUGAAUGCAGUAUCCCUGAGAACUUGGAAUCAGCCACACUUUAAGAAGGUAAUAUUAGGAAAUCAAGUUGUAAAUGACUAUGACUAAGUAUAUGGAAAAUCUUCACUUUGGCAACAGAUGGUAAUGGAGGCUAAAAGGAUUCAAAGGCACUAAAUGACGUUCUUAAAGAGCCCCCCCCAGAAUAACCCAACUUCCUAAAGUUGGGCAUUAUCAAAUCUAAGGAAAAGAACUUCAACCAAAGACAGCUGUUUGAAAGAGAGUGCUGGAAAGAGAAGGAAAGAAAGAGGACAUGUCUUUAUAUAUUCAACGCAAUCAAAGAGGCAAAGUGCAGAAGUGGUAGCCUCUCAGGUUAGGGACACCAAUAAGAACAAAGUCCCUUUGUUCAGACUCUACUCACAGAAGCUUCAUUGCCCCAGGCUUCACAGUGGACACAUUUUCCACUUGCAGAGUUCUUCCUGUGGACUAGCAAAACUCUUUGCCUGGCUUCUGACUUGAGAGCCUUUGGAGCCUCAGUGCAGCAGAUGGACCUUAGUUGUUUGCAAAGAAGUUUUAUUUUGGAACUUGUGAAGAGAUUGGGGUUAAUGUACAAUAAAGUGAAAGUGACGUUUGUAAAGAUGGUGCGA
rnacentral:lncRNA from 1 species